rnacentral:rRNA from 1 species
CAACAGGGAUUGCCUCAGUAACGGCGAGUGAAGCGGCAACAGCUCAAAUUUGAAAUCUGGCCCCAGGCCCGAGUUGUAAUUUGCAGAGGAUGCUUUUGGCAAGGUGCCUUCCGAGUUCCCUGGAACGGGACGCCAUAGAGGGUGAGAGCCCCGUCUGGUCGGACACCGAGCCUCUGUAAAGCUCCUUCGACGAGUCGAGUAGUUUGGGAAUGCUGCUCAAAAUGGGAGGUAUAUGUCUUCUAAAGCUAAAUACCGGCCAGAGACCGAUAGCGCACAAGUAGAGUGAUCGAAAGAUGAAAAGCACUUUGAAAAGAGAGUUAAAUAGCACGUGAAAUUGUUGAAAGGGAAGCGUUUAUGACCAGACUUGGCCCGGUUGAUCAUCCAGCGUUCUCGCUGGUGCACUCUGCCGGUCCAGGCCAGCAUCAGUUCGUCGCGGGGGAUAAAGGUUUCGGGAAUGUGGCUCCUCCGGGAGUGUUAUAGCCCGUUGCGUAAUACCCUGCGGUGGACUGAGGUCCGCGCUCUGCAAGGAUGCUGGCGUAAUGGUCAUCAACGACCCGUCUUGAAACACGGACCAAGGAGUCGUCUUCGUAUGCGAGUGUUCGGGUGUAAAACCCCUACGCGUAAUGAAAGUGAACGCAGGUGAGAGCUUCGGCGCAUCAUCGACCGAUCCUGAUGUUCUCGGAUGGAUUUGAGUAAGAGCAUACGGGGCCGGACCCGAAAGAAGGUGAACUAUGCCUGUAUAGGGUGAAGCCAGAGGAAACUCUGGUGGAGGCUCGCAGCGGUUCUGACGUGCAAAUCGAUCGUCAAAUAUGGGCA